GUUUUCUACCACCAAACAAGGGAGACAAAAGCUGCUGCUCUUAAUUCGCAGGAACAGUGAGCCACAGACGGCUAAUCACGUCCGGAACCAAAGGCACCUGCCCUAUCUGCCUCUACAUUUGGAUUGCUGUUAUACUUUGUAUAAGAAGGUGCUAAUAACUUGGAGGCUUUUAGACUGGGUGAUCUAAUCCCUUUGUACGAUAAAGACUCGCCACGCCGAGAGUGGUUGCCAGAUCGUGGACAAGGUGCUUCAGAGGAAACCUGGCAACAUGCUGAAGAACCAGCAGUAAAUGUGCUCGGUUGCCCAUAGAGUGCCUCGGACAGUGAAUGAUGACUGAUGUGACUACUAGGAUUUUUCCUCCCUCUCCGAUAUACUCCUGAAGUGUUUGGCUUCUUGUAUUUUGUAUUUUAAGCAAUAUAUAACAUUUGUAAGAUGGCAAGCUAUGUCACAAAAAGACAAAUGCAGAGUUUGCAAAGCUAUGUUAUUUCAAGUGAUUUCACAAGUGAUGAAAGAGCUUGUGAAAGUGGCUUGGACUUAAAAUAAUUAGAAAUACAAUCACAAACACACAAGUUAUUUUAAUAAUCAAGUUUAAUUUUCAUAAUAGAAAAAAAGCCUGAUUAAAAGAGUGACAUUUUUGAGAAGUUGUAGUAAUUAACUUUUUUUUAAAUAUGCAUUUGGCAUUUUUGGGACUGGACAGAGAACUGACAA